UGCAGUCGAGCGGUAAGGCCCUUUCGGGGGUACACGAGCGGCGAACGGGUGAGUAACACGUGGGUGACCUGCCCUCCACUCUGGGAUAAGCCCGGGAAACUGGGUCUAAUACCGGAUAGGACCACUGGAUGCAUGUCUGGUGGUGGAAAGUUUUUUCGGUGGGGGAUGGGCCCGCGGCCUAUCAGCUUGUUGGUGGGGUGAUGGCCUACCAAGGCGGUGACGGGUAGCCGGCCUGAGAGGGCGACCGGCCACACUGGGACUGAGACACGGCCCAGACUCCUACGGGAGGCAGCAGUGGGGAAUAUUGCGCAAUGGGCGGAAGCCUGACGCAGCGACGCCGCGUGGGGGAUGACGGCCUUCGGGUUGUAAACCUCUUUCGCCAGGGACGAAGCUAACGUGACGGUACCUGGAGAAGAAGCACCGGCCAACUACGUGCCAGCAGCCGCGGUAACACGUAGGGUGCGAGCGUUGUCCGGAAUUAUUGGGCGUAAAGAGCUCGUAGGCGGUGUGUCGCGUCGGCCGUGAAAACUUGGGGCUUAACUCUGAGCGUGCGGUCGAUACGGGCAUCACUUGAGUUCGGCAGGGGAGACUGGAAUUCCUGGUGUAGCGGUGAAAUGCGCAGAUAUCAGGAGGAACACCGGUGGCGAAGGCGGGUCUCUGGGCCGAUACUGACGCUGAGGAGCG
rnacentral:rRNA from 1 species